AAUGAACGUUGGCGGCGUGGAUUAGGCAUGCAAGUCGAAUGCGAACGUAGCAAUACUAGUAGCAUGGCGAAAGGGAUAGUAAUGCAUGGGCAAUCUACCCUCGACUCCGGGAUAUGCGGCGGAAACGCCGAGUAAUACUGGACGCCGUUUAGUGGGGACAUCCCUGUUGAACGAAAGGUCCGCCGGUCGAGGAGGAGCUCAUGUCCUAUCAGCUAGUUGGUGAGGAACGGCUCACCAAGGCGACGACGGGUAGCGGGUGUGAGAGCACGACCCGCAUCACUGGCACUGAGACACUGGCCAGACUCCUACGGGAGGCUGCAGUCGAGAAUCUUCGGCAAUGGACGAAAGUCUGACC
rnacentral:rRNA from 1 species